rnacentral:rRNA from 1 species
GACAGAGGGGGCAAGCGUUGCUCGGAAUCACUGGGCGUAAAGGGCGCGUAGGCGGGAUGGCAAGUCGGUCGUGAAAUCCCUCGGCUCAACUGAGGAGCGUCGGCCGAUACUGCCGUUCUUGAGGAAUGCAGAGGAGACUGGAAUUCCCGGUGUAGCGGUGAAAUGUGUAGAGAUCGGGAGGAACACCGGUGGCGAAGGCGGGUCUCUGGGCAUCUCCUGACGCUGAGGCGCGAAAGCGUGGGGAGCAAACGGG